UUCACUUUAAAAAAGUCACAGCUAUUUUUACCAAUCAUGCUUUCAUUUAAUUCUACAGUCUAAAUUCUACAGCCUAAAUUCUACAGCUACAACAGAAAAAUCUACAGAUAAAUUUCUACAGCUAAAAUCCUAAAGCUACAGCCGCAACCAAUCAGACCCUAUAACACCCAUAUUCAAUAGAAAGUAGGUUGAUCUUUAUUGAGUCUUUGCCUUUAUAAUGACUCUAUGAGAACUAAACAAACUACUUAAACUGAACUAAAACAAAAAAUGGCUUCCAACUUUAACUUUUCCUCCUCUCAGUCCUUUACCAAUCUGUUGUUCAGCCAAGAAGAAAACCCAAUCCUUCUCAGUCCUUCACAUCCUCCUUGUUCUGAAUCCCAAACACCCACAGCCUUAGCUAGGGCACUUGCAAGUGCCUGGCUCAACACAUCCAAAGACUCAGUUGUGGGGAAUGAGCAGAGAUCAUCUGCCUUUUGGGAUAGGGUUGCAACAUAUUAUGUUGCAUGUCCUGCUGUCUCUAAGCUCACCAUCCGAGAGGCAAACACUUGUAAGCAAACACUUGUAAGCAUAAAUGGCAAAAAUGAAUGAGCUUGUCAUGAAAUAUGUUGGCUGCUACGAGUAUGCCUCUCGGACUCCUGGCAGUGGAGAGACUGAAGAUGAUAUUCUAGUGCUGGCCUACAAGCUUUACCACCAGGAUCAAAAAAACCAAAUUCAGUCUUGAGCAUGUGUAGAGAAUCUUCAAGACUGAUCAGAAAUGGUGCAAUUGGUAUGAGACAAAAAUCAAACCUGUCAAGAAGAAAGCUAAACUUUCUGAGGUAGAAGAAGAGAGUGUUCAAAGGCCUAUAGGGGUCAAGGCAGCCAAGGCUUUAGCCAAGUCCAAAGGUAAGGGAAAGAGCCAAGUUUCUGAGGCUGGUUCUGUGGCUGAACUUAAGGGUUUGUGGGAAGUGAAGGAGAAAGAUUAUGCUGUCAAAGAGAGACUCGCUAAGCAGAAGCUACUUGACAGCCUUCUUGGAAGGUCUAAUUGUUUGGGUGACAUGGAAAUUGAACUUAAGAACACUCUU
rnacentral:lncRNA from 1 species